rnacentral:rRNA from 1 species
AUUGAACGCUGGCGGCAUGCUUUACACAUGCAAGUCGAACGGCAGCGCGGGCUUCGGCCUGGCGGCGAGUGGCGAACGGGUGAGUAAUGCAUCGGAACGUGCCCAGUAGUGGGGGAUAGCCCGGCGAAAGCCGGAUUAAUACCGCAUACGACCUGAGGGUGAAAGCGGGGGACCGAAAGGCCUCGCGCUAUUGGAGCGGCCGAUGUCGGAUUAGAUAGUUGGUGGGGUAAAGGCUUACCAAGGCGACGAUCCGUAGCUGGUCUGAGAGGACGACCAGCCAGACUGGGACUUAGGCACGGCCCAGACUCCUACGGGAGGCCGCAGUGGGGAAUUUUGGACAAUGGGGGCAACCCUGAUCCAGCCAUGCCGCGUGCGGGAAGAAGGCCUUCGGGUUGUAAACCGCUUUUGUUCGGGAAGAAAUCCUCUGGGCUAAUACCCCGGGGGGAUGACGGUACCGGAAGAAUAAGCACCGGCUAACUACGUG